GGCUCAGAACGAACGCGGCGGGCGUGGAUAAGACAUGCAAGUCGAACGAUCAUUAGUGGGUAGCAAUAUUCGCUAGUGGGAGUGGCGCAAGGGUGCGUAACACGUGGGUAAUUUGCCGUGAAGUCUGGAAUAACUUGCUGAAAGGCGAGCUAAUACCGGAUGUGAUUGCUGGAGGGCAUCCUCUGGCACUUAAAGUCGGGGACCGUAAGGCCUGACACUUUUCGAUAAGCCCGCGGCCUAUCAGCUAGUUGGUGAGGUAACGGCUCACCAAGGCUAAGACGGGUAGCUGGUCUGAGAGGACGACCAGCCUCACUGGAACUGAGACACGGUCCAGACACCUACGGGUGGCAGCAGUCGAGAAUUUUUCUCAAUGGGGGAAACCCUGAAGGAGCGACGCCGCGUGGGGGAUGAAUGGCUUCGGCCCGUAAACCCCUGUCAUUUGCGAUCAAACCUUACGACCUAACACGUCGUAAGCUGAUAGUAGCGGAAGAGGAAGGGACGGCUAACUCUGUGCCAGCAGCCGCGGUAAUACAGAGGUCCCAAGCGUUGUUCGGAUUCACUGGGCGUAAAGGGUGCGUAGGCGGUCGGGUAAGUCUGACGUGAAAUCUUCAAGCUCAACUUGAAAACUGCGUCGGAUACUAUUCGGCUAGAGGAAUGGAGGGGAGACUGGAAUACUUGGUGUAGCAGUGAAAUGCGUAGAUAUCAAGUGGAACACCAGUGGCGAAGGCGAGUCUCUGGACAUUUCCUGACGCUGAGGCACGAAAGCCAGGGGAGCAAACGGGAUUAGAUACCCCGGUAGUCCUGGCCCUAAACGGUGCACGUUUGCUGUAAGAGGAAUCGACCCCUUUUGUGGCGAAGCUAACGCGUUAAACGUGCCGCCUGGGAAGUACGGCCGCAAGGGUAAA
rnacentral:rRNA from 1 species